GAUGAACGCUGGCGGCGUGCCUAAUACAUGCAAGUCGAGCGAACGGACGAGAAGCUUGCUUCUCUGAUGUUAGCGGCGGACGGGUGAGUAACACGUGGAUAACCUACCUAUAAGACUGGGAUAACUUCGGGAAACCGGAGCUAAUACCGGAUAAUAUUUUGAACCGCAUGGUUCAAAAGUGAAAGACGGUCUUGCUGUCACUUAUAGAUGGAUCCGCGCCGCAUUAGCUAGUUGGUAAGGUAACGGCUUACCAAGGCAACGAUGCAUAGCCGACCUGAGAGGGUGAUCGGCCACACUGGAACUGAGACACGGUCCAGACUCCUACGGGAGGCAGGAGUAGGGAAUCUUCCGCAAUGGGCGAAAGCCUGACGGAGCAACGCCGCGUGAGUGAUGAAGGUCUUCGGAUCGUAAAACUCUGUUAUUAGGGAAGAACAUAUGUGUAAGUAACUGUGCACAUCUUGACGGUACCUAAUCAGAAAGCCACGGCUAACUACGUG
rnacentral:rRNA from 1 species